rnacentral:rRNA from 1 species
UGUUGUUUUAUAUUUAGUUUAAUAUAUUUUUAAAAUAUUAACACAUGAUAUANNNNNAAGUAUCUAAAAUUUCUUGAACUGUUAUUUAUAGUUUUAUAUUUUUUAUUUAAUGUUUAAAUAUUUAAUUAUUGAUGCUAUCACAGUUGUUUUAUAUGUCCCUAACAAAAAUAGUAAGAGCCUUUAAUUAAAUUAAUAAAUAAUUAUUCAAAUAAUAUUAUGAAUAUUAUGAAAAUUAUAAAAAUUAUAAUAUAUAAUCCAAUAAUAUGUAUUACUAAAAUAUAUUUAAUUGAAUAUUAAAAGUACCAAUUUAAUUUGAAAUUUAUAACAAAUAUACGUUUUAAUUAUGGAAUUAAAAUAAAAAGAAUAAAAAUAUUUUAAUAUUUAAUAUUUGUUAACCAAAAAGUAACCAUAAAGAAUAAUAAGUAUUAUUAUUAAAAAUAUAAUUAUAAAAAUACAAAAAUAUUGUUAAUAAAAUUAUCAAAUUUCAAAAGCAUUUAUUAAAUGUGCCUGUCUAAGUAAAAUAUUUAAGAUAAUUCUUGUAUAUACCUUUAAAAUUAAAUAAUUCUAAUCAAAUAAUUAAGUACCAAAUCCAAUUUAUCAAGUAGCAUAGUAAUUUGUUAACUAAUUAUUAAAGUGUUCCAUAGAAAAUUUUAAAAUUAAAACAAACAACGUAACUAAUAAAUUAAAAUAAAGAUUUUAAUAAAAACCAAAAAAUUAAAAUAGGGCAAGCCUACUCUCCUUUACAAAGAGAACAUAAAUAUAUGUAAUUGUAUGUUUGAUUGGGGCAAUACUAUAUCUAAAUAUAUAGAAAAAGAGCUAUAAUUAUUGAAAUAAUAAAAGGUUCGAGCAGGUUAACAAGCAUUAAAACUAAAUGUGUUUCAUCGUCUACUUAUUACUAAUAAAAUUGAUUGUUCAUCAAAAUUGUAAUUCGUUAGUUGGGUUAAAAUCGUUGUAAAGCAGAUUUGUUUAUAUAUUUAAUUAUAAAAUAAUAUUAAAAUCAAAAUUAGUACGCAAGGAUCUUUAU